UACGUAGGGGGCAAGCGUUGUCCGGAUUUAUUGGGCGUAAAGAGCGUGUAGGCGGCUUGGUAGGUCUCGCGUCAAAACCUGAGGCUCAACCUCAGUUCGCGUGGGAAACCACCUAGCUAGAGUCCGGAAGAGGAGAACGGAAUUCCCAGUGUAGCGGUGAAAUGCGCAGAUAUGCGGAGGAACACCGAUGGCGAAGGCAAUCCCCUGGGCCUGCACUGACGCUCAUGCACGAAAGCGUGGGGAGCAAACAGG
rnacentral:rRNA from 1 species